AUUCAGUUGAGUAAAAUUAAACUCUCAAUAUAAGCAUCGACAUACCCACAAGGCUUCGUCAUUUUGAUUCCGGUGUUGGUGGUUUGGUCCGCCUCAGGAUCUAUAAAACCAAAUAUGGACCUUUCGAAUAAGUACCUGUCAUAACCAUAAGAAAUCUGCCAUUUCCCGAGAACGCUAGUGGACCUGGUAUACAUCCCCUUUCGGGGAGAAAAAUCUUGCAGGUCUUUUUCCAAGUAUCCAUUUCAAGAACCCAUACGUCAUAAAACCAACCCGGUUGCCCAUCUUGUCUUCGUCGAUGGAAGAAGGAAAGUGAUUUCUCAAACACUCGAAUAUGAAUGUGUCGGAAACUUGUGCGUACAUGAUGUAGCAUGAUCCUUACUUCAUGAGGUAGCAUGAUCCUUCUAAACUCCUCACUGCCAAAGAAUGAAGGCUUGUACUCCAAUACACAACUCCAUUCAAGAAUGCACAUUUGUCUUCGGAAACACCAACAUCAGGAGGAACUACACUAAUUUUUCUCCAAGAAUUCAGUCUAAGGCUGUAAACCUCAACCUCAAACUCUUUGCGUUCAAACCUCAUCACCCUCACAACCUUAUAGUCAUUUUUGCUACGAUGAAAUCCGAAGCCGAUAGCAACGACAUAGGUUGUGUCUUGAAUGAAGCCUAUGGGAAGUCUCUUGAUUUUUCUGAUGGAGGGAUUCCAUAGAUAUAUAGAAAUAAAAUCCGACAUGCAAAGCAAUCCAUUGCAAGAACCAAUAACGGCAUAA
rnacentral:lncRNA from 1 species